CAUCAUUUACCCGUGAAAAAGAAUGAAGUACUGUCUAACACGAUUUGAGCUUGCUCUAGCAAGAGAGUUUAACCUAUUCCAGUAUUUUCUUUUCCAUGAGACAAGCCAUUAUAUAGAUUUAAACAGU
rnacentral:snoRNA from 1 species